UAACUGGUGGAAUAGAAUUAGAAUAGGAAUCAGGAGUCCGGAAGUCUUCGGAAGAGUUCGGAUGAGAGGUGGGCCGCUGAUGGUGACAGCUCAGUACGGAUAUUCCUCCGCACUCCUCAUUGGACCACGUGGCAUCAUGCGUUGUGCUCCAACGGGAGUCUCGGCUGGAGAAUUUGCCAGGUAUCCGCACCCUCCCUCUGCCGUUAGAUGAUAUAUCAACGGUGAAAAAUCAUCUUGUGAUCUAAAUAUAAAAUACAAAUUUUGAGUGUGUUUUUUUACACAAAACAUGUGAUCUUAUCCAGAAGAAUCCGGGCUGCUAUUAUUGGAGAAAAAUCCAACAAAAAAAUCACAAGAAAAAACCUCCUGGAGGGGGUGAUGGCGUGAUCUACCGACCUGCUCUGCCUGGACAUGCGGCGCCCAAUGGAAGAUGAGGGGGGAGGCGAGAAGCGACGCCAGUGGAGGGAGAUGGAUGCCCCCUUGCGCCUCCGCUCGAGCCGGCCAUCUCUCGGCUUCAGGGGAUGUCUCAGAGCUCUGCAGUGGCUGGAUGUGGAGGGUGAGAGAGGGAGGGGGCGAGGCAGAGAGGUGGCUGAGCUGAUGGCCAGUGACGGAUGGAGCAAUCAA